UGAGUAACACGUAUGCAACCUGCCUGCCACAGCCGGAUAAUCGGGAGAAAUUCCGUCUAAUACGGCAUAAUGCAUCGACGGGACAUCCUGUUGGUGCCAAAGGUUAAUUCCGGUGGCGGAUGGGCAUGCGUCGCAUUAGUUAGUUGGCGGUGUAACGGACCACCAAGACGACGAUGCGUAGGGGUUCUGAGAGGAAGGUCCCCCACACUGGUACUGAGACNCGGACCAGACUCCUACGGGAGGCAGCAG
rnacentral:rRNA from 1 species